AACAGAUGUUCUCAGUGAUUCAGUUGUGGAGGAGGGGCAAAAUAUAUAUGACGAAUCGAACUCGAAAAUGCUAUUGUAUUCCUCCCCCUCACCAUGAACUAUGUACAAAAGGAUCUUCUGCUACUAGGACUUCCUGCAAAACUUGUUCUUCUUUGUUCUUUGUUUCGUCGUCAUCUCCAGUUGCAGCAUUGGGGUUUUCCCUGA
rnacentral:lncRNA from 1 species